GAAAUAGGAAAAUCAAGAGUAAGCUUCUAACUUAACUCUUAAGCAGUGAAAAUCUGUUUAUAUUUCU
rnacentral:tRNA from 1 species